rnacentral:rRNA from 1 species
UUCGCCCUUAGAGUUUGAUCCUGGCUCAGGACGAACGCUGGCGGCGUGCCUAACACAUGCAAGUCGAACGGAGUUAAGACUUCGGUUUUAACUUAGUGGCGAACGGGUGAGUAACGCGUGAGAAACCUGCCUUUCAGUGGGGGACAACAGUUGGAAACGACUGCUAAUACCGCAUAAUGUUAUUUGGGGGCAUCCCUGAAUAACCAAAGAUUUAUUGCUGAAAGAUGGUCUCGCGUCUGAUUAGCUAGAUGGCGGGGUAACGGCCCACCAUGGCGACGAUCAGUAGCCGGUCUGAGAGGAUGAACGGCCACAUUGGGACUGAGAUACGGCCCAGACUCCUACGGGAGGCAGCAGUGGGGAAUAUUGGGCAAUGGGCGAAAGCCUGACCCAGCAACGCCGCGUGAAGGAAGAAGGCCUUCGGGUUGUAAACUUCUUUUAGCAGGGACGAAUUCGUGACGGUACCUGCAGAAAAAGCAACGGCUAACUACGUGCCAGCAGCCGCGGUAAUACGUAGGUUGCAAGCGUUGUCCGGAUUUACUGGGUGUAAAGGGCGUGUAGGCGGAGAUGAAAGUUGGGAGUGAAAUCCCGGGGCUCAACCCCGGAACUGCUUUCAAAACUGUAUCCCUUGAGUGUCGGAGAGGCAAGCGGAAUUCCUAGUGUAGCGGUGAAAUGCGUAGAUAUUAGGAGGAACACCAGUGGCGAAGGCGGCUUGCUGGACGAUAACUGACGCUGAGGCGCGAAAGCGUGGGGAGCAAACAGGAUUAGAUACCCUGGUAGUCCACGCUGUAAACGAUGAAUACUAGGUGUGGGGUGCAAAGCAUUCCGUGCCGCAGCUAACGCAAUAAGUGUUCCACCUGGGGAGUACGGCCGCAAGGUUGAAACUCAAAGGAAUUGACGGGAGCCCGCACAAGCAGUGGAGUAUGUGGUUUAAUUCGACGCAACGCGAAAAACCUUACCAAGGAUUGACAUCCAGAGGAGGCCGGGUAAUGCUGGCUGUGCCCUUCGGGGAACUCUGAGACAGGUGGUGCAUGGUUGUCGUCAGCUCGUGUCGUGAGAUGUUGGGUUAAGUCCCGCAACGAGCGCAACCCUUGUUGAUAGUUACCAGUAUUAAGUUAGGGACUCUAUCAAGACUGCCGUGGACAACACGGAGGAAGGUGGGGACGACGUCAAAUCAUCAUGCCCCUUAUGUCUUGGGCUACACACGUGCUACAAUGGUGGCUACAGAGGGCAGCGAAGUCGCAAGGCAGAGCGAAUCUCAAAAAAGCCAUCUCAGUUCGGAUUGUGGGCUGCAACCCGCCCACAUGAAGUUGGAGUUGCUAGUAAUCGCGAAUCAGCAUGUCGCGGUGAAUGCGUUCCCGGGCCUUGCACACACCGCCCGUCA